rnacentral:rRNA from 1 species
CCUACGGGUGGCAGCAGUGAGGAAUAUUGGUCAAUGGGCGCGAGCCUGAACCAGCCAAGUAGCGUGAAGGAUGACUGCCCUACGGGUUGUAAACCUCUUUUAUAAAGGAAUAAAGUGAGGCACGUGUGCCUUUUUGUAUGUACUUUAUGAAUAAGGAACGGCUAACCUCGUGCCAGGAGCCGCGGUAAUACGGAGGAUCCGAGCGUUAUCCGGAUUUAUUGGGUUUAAAGGGAGCGUAGGUGGGUUGUUAAGUCAGUUGUGAAAGUCUGCGGGCCAACCGUCAAAUUGCAAUUGAUACUGGCAGCCUUGAGUACGGUUGAGGUAGGCGGAAUUCGUGGUGUAGCGGUGAAAUGCUUAGAUAUCACGAAGAACUCCGAUUGCGAAGGCAGCUUACUA